AGAUGAAACAGAAUGACUUGGUGAAGUCACGGACUCGGCAUCUUGAGAUGGCGUGCUUGCAAGUUUGCAGUAGACCGAAGCAAUGCACCCGAGGAUGUCCUCUGAUAGUUUGCAAGAGAUCUUGGGUACGUAGUCUGAAAUAGAAGCAUUCAAGAAGUUCACUAGGCUGGAAUGCUUCGAAGCCGGUCUUGACGAUACCUCCUGUGAGAUGCAAAAGUUGAGUGAGGCAUAUUUCCAGGAAUCGGAUAGCUGCUGAUCAAAUGCCCUUCUGUAGAGGGUCAGCAGAUGCAGUUCCUUGCGGAUGACUUCCUGCUCGAGGGCCGCGAUCUCCCCAGCUAAAUCUGCGAUGGACUGCAGAACUGCAAGGUCACGGCUAAGAACACAGGCAUAAUUGAAGGUGCAGAUGAGCGUUCUACAAAGAAGGAAAAAAACCCGAAAGGUAAUCAGGACAAUUUCCCUCCUAUGUGGGUCGGUGUAUAAUUCUUAAUUCUUACUGAAAAUGACCAAACCAUACUCCUUUUGUUCCUUUAUUUAGUGAAUGAAAAAUAGCAAUUGAAGUAUUGGAGGAAACUCUGUCUGUAAUUCAGAAGAAGAAUAAGCGGGCGGUGCUAACCUCUGCG